CUUUGUUGUUUUCUUUUCCUAUCCGUGCAUCAGAAGAUGGUAGCUGUAGCUACCUCGUGACUGGUGCAGAGCGUUCCAAGCUAGGCUGUGAGCGUACUAAAACGGAAUGGUGGGUUUUCUAAGGCAAGAAAGGGGCAUCCCGAUUCAGGGCAUGUAGGCAGGUGCUAACAGAAAUAAUAUCUACAGUUAACAUUCAGCCCUUAGAUGCUACCACUGUGCUAAGUGCUUUACUUUCUUCAGUUUUUUUUUUAAUCUGCUAAAAAGGUACCAAGUGAGUACUAUUAUUAUCCCCAUUUUAUCAGUCCAAGGAGGGCGAUGCAUGACACAGUCUUCCAGGUGCUGGGCCUCUGCUGAGCUCUUUCCCCUCCUAUGUCACGGCCUCUUGCUUGCACUCUUGGGAUGGUGGAGUGCUCUCCCAAAGGAUGGACUUGUCUUGACACUGUGGCAAUUCUUCCUGCGGCUGUGAAGGGGGUGGCCUGGCUGUGGGGACUGCACAAGAACAAGAGCCGCAUGAAUUACAAGGUCAGCCAGACCUGGUGGUACUCCCAUGAUACAGUAAGGCCAUAUACAUCGGCCCCUCCCAGGCCCAACUCAGACCCACCAUAGAGCACUGUAUGGACCUCCAACAUUUACCUGUGUUAUUUCAUUUUCUGACCUGUCCUGGACCCAGAAAAUGGAUGCACUAAGCACUCCCCCUAACACUAUCAAUUAUUCCAUUAACUUUGUUUUUCUUGAUUUUGGACUUGCCCCAACUCUUGUCAACACACUUGGGGUGGGGAUCUGGGGUCAAGUCAGAAGUCAGUCCCCCUCUAAAAAAAGUCACCUCCUACCCCUGCCUUCCUAGGGACCUGGUGGCUGUCAGGUCCUUUGCCCCUCAGGGAUUCCGCUAGGCGUCUGGGCUGGAUUUUCACUGGUCUCAGCUGGGUCUGCGCCCACCGUGCUGCCUUCCGGAAAUCUGUUGUGCUUUCAUGACAUCUGUUCCCUUUGUCCACAUGACUCUUCAUUCCCAGGUGUUUGCAGUUACCUACCACGUUUAUCCAACACCUGUGCCCUGUCCCUCCUGAUGUGACCACCUGGAAAUGCCUUUUCCCAAUCAGCCUGAGGGACACGAUGCACCUUUCAAAACCGCUCUUCCACAGCUUCGCAGCAUAUUAUUCCAGUUCAGCAGGUGAACACCAAGGCCCAGCUGUGUCAUGCCAGCUCCCUGGCCUCCAGUGCUGCCCCGUUCUCACCAGCAUUCCAGAAUUUGCCUCCUGUCUACCACCAGUGACCACACCCCCUCAAAGACCCAUGUCCUGAACAGCGAGCUCCGCUUUCCCUUUGACCGGGUCAGAGUCUUUCAUUGCCUGCUCUCCCUCACCUACCCCUGGCAUCUUGAUGUGGGACAGGCCAGAGUGACAGCAUUUCCUGCAUCUGGGUCUCAGCUGGAAAAUGGAAAUUUCUGCCUGAGGCUGUUACACCAAGUAGGAGUCACUGCAGCUUUUGCCGAACAGAGACUGCCAUCCAUUCUCUGUGCCAGUGUGGUUCACCCAGCCAGAGGUCAGAGGAGCCCACAAGAGCCUCCGCCCCCAAUUUAAGUCUCUUCGGUGCUGGGCAGAGUGGCUGCAGAAACGGUUGCAGAUGGGCAGGAACGGUGGUGGGGCACAGGAAGGGCUGGUGGGGGGCGUGCAGCAAGAGGGUGUGGGCAGAGGUUUCCCAGGCUGGGGGGGGGCAGGGCUGGAUGACCCCUCAGGGAAUGGACCCCAAGAGGCCCUCUGAGUGAAGGGAGCGGAAGAGGGUGCUCCUCCAAGCUCAGCAGCAGAGAGAGGCUUGACCGUGACCUGGAGGCCAGGUGGAAGGCUGCGGCGGGGGCGGGGGGGGGGGCUGCGGUGGGAGCUGGGCUCUUCCAGAGGAGUCCUGAGCAUGUCCCAUCUCCCCAGCUGGCUCUGCCAGGGUGUGGAAGACGUUGGGCUCUGCCUUCCUGUGGAAAGGAGACAAAGUGGGAUCGGUGGGGUCUAGGGUCAGGGUGAUGGCCUUUUUGUUUGGGUGAGCCGGAGGGAGGAGGUGGUAAGAGGAAGUGUCCUGAGUCAUUGUCAUGUUCUGGGUGGGCAUAGUCUGGGACCUGUGUGCAGUCUCACACAAAGAGAGAUGUCUCAAUAGGCCUGUAGGGAGCAGGGAAAUGCUUCGUAGUGCCCCGGAUGAAUUUCGGGGCAGUAGCCCUCCUAGCAGGCUGGGAUGGUUAAUGAAGAUGACCCAGGCGACCCACUCAGCCGCAACAGCUUCAUCUUUAGAAUGAUGCUAAGCUGCCUGUCUUAUAGACACAGGACUGCAGAGAGUGUGAAAUAAGAUGGGUCACUCAAAGUGUAGGAACAAGGACCAAUAUCAUGUGCAAGUAAGGGGAUCGUCUUCAAUAAAGAGAGCCUAGCCGGAUUGGAAAGAUUCCCUAAAUAUUGCUCAAAAAUACCACUCUAAUUCCUAAGGAUCCCAUACCCCAAAGGAACUAACCAGUUAAUUUUCCUUUUAUUUACAAAUAAUUUCAAACUUAGAGAUGAUUUCCAUAAACAAUACAGGGAAUUCCUAUAUGCCGUUCAACCCGAUACAACAACUGUUAAUAUUUUGGCACAUUUGCCUUAAGAUUCUUUCUUCCCUCUCCCCGUCCCUUCCUCUCUCUCUAUACACAUUUAUAUAUUUUUAUAUAUAUAUAAAAUUAUGUACAUAUUUUUCCCAAACCAUUUGAGAGUAAGUUGCAAACACGAUGCCUCCGUGCUUCUAAAUGUCUCAGUGUGCCUUUCCUAAGGCCAAGUAUGUUCUCCUACAUAACCACUGUCUUAGCUCAGGCCUCCAUAACCGAAUACCACAGGCUGGGUGGCUUAAGCAACAGAAAUUUAUUUUCUCACCGUUCUGGAGGCUAGAAGUGCAAGGUUAAGGUUCUAGCUGAUUCAGUUCCUGAUGAGGGCUCUCUUCCCUGAUGUGUAGAUAACCAUCUUAUUGUGUCCUCAACGUGGCCUUCCCUCAGUGCAUGGGGGUGGGGGAGCACGCAUGCGUGAGCAAGGUCUCUAAUGUCUUGUCUUAUAAGGACACUAAUCCUACCAGCCAGGGCCCUUCCCUCACGACCUCAUUUAACCUUAAUUACUUCUUCAGAGACCUCCUCUCCAAAUACAGCCACACGGAGUGUGAGGGCUUCAAUAUACGAAUUUGAGGAGGGACACAAACAUUCAGUCCAUAACAACCACCAGCACAAGGCAGUAGUUAUAAAAAUCAGGAAAUUUAACAUUGAGACAGCUGUGUUACAUCACCCCUAGAUCGCAUUUGUUUUCACCAGUUCUGGUCCAGGAUCCAAUUUAGGACCACACAUUAGAUUGGUUGUCCUGUCUCUUUGGUUUCCUUUCAUUUGGAACAGUUUCUCAAAUCUGUCCUUGAUGUUAUGGGCUGAAUUGUUUCCACCCAUCCCCUCCCCGCCCUGCCAAGUUCAUAUGUUGGAGUCCUAACCCCCAGUACCUCAGAAUGUGACUGUAUUUGCAGAUGAUGUCUUUAAAGAGGUAAUUAAGAUGAAAUAUAAGUUCGCAUGGGUGGGCCCUAAUCCAAUCUGACUGGUGUCCUCCUCAGAAGAGGAAGUUAGGACGCAGCUGCACACAGAGGGAAGACCAUGUGAAGACACAGGGAGAAGGCGGCCAUCUGCAAGCCAAGGAGCGAGGCCUCUUCAUCUUGGACUUCUGGCCGCUGGAACUGUGAGGAAAUAAAUGGCUCUGAAGCCACUCAGCCUGUGGUACCUCAUUAUGGCGGCCCAGGCAAAGUAAUAUACGCGAUUGUGUGACCUCGACCCUCUUGAAGCUUUUACCUGCUUUUAGAGUGGCCCUCUGUGUGGAUCUGUGUGAUGUUUUCUCCUGAUUAGAUUCAGAUCUUGUACCUCUGGCAGGAAAGUCACAGAAGUGAGGCUGUGUCCUCCUCCGUGCCUCCUAUCUGGAGGUGUCAUUUCCUCUCUGAUUUCUGUUUCUCCCCAAGGUGUAACACAAACUUGUUCUAGGGUAGGAACCCUACGUAACUCCACCCCCGGCCCAGAGCACUGCGCCUAGGAAAGCAAUGAGCAGUCCCCACCUGGGUCUUCCACAUUGCCCAGUGUUGCUCACCAGAGUGGACAGGAAUGUGUGGUUACAAGCUGUGCCGUCUGAGGAUGGGGCUGUGGAUGUCCCUCCGGCUGGAGGAAGCUGGCGCUUUCUCAGGAGCCUGACGCUGGACAGCUGGAGCCACCUGGUCUUCGUGGGUGAGGCUGGCUUCCCCGUGCACCUGGGUCGUUCAGGUUGCUUUUUUCCAUUCGGAGCUUUUACUUCUUGGGUUCCGAAAGCUGGGAGAUGGCUCCAGUGACUAAAACAUUAGACAUGCAAGGUAGGGAUAUUUACCUCAUGGGCCUUUGGGAGGAUUCAACAGACCUCUUGGUAGGAAGCCCCUAGCACAGGGCCUAUCAUGAAACAUAGCAGAGGCUGUGUGAGCGUUGGCUGCCAUUAGUAGUAGUAGUUCUGUUACCACAUGCCUAUCCCCAUCCCCCCAAUCAGAAUGCCCCAUUCUCUCCCUAGAAACCCCCACAAGCUCCUCAGGGUGCUUACAGCCUAGUUCUGAAUGCUCUGCCUAUUACCAUACUGCAGUAAUAAUAAUCCUUAGUAUUUAUUUUUUAAGUAAAGUGCGAAGCCCCACAUGGGGCUUGAACUCACAACCAUGAGAUCAAAACCCGAGCUGAGAUCAAGGGUUAGACGUUCAACUGACUAAUAUUAUUGGUGCCCCAGUGAUAUUAUCGGUGACCUGAUAAUCCUUGGUAUUUAUAAUCCUCACAGCCAUCCCACAUCGUGUGUGUGAUCACCCUUGCCUGCUUAAAAAUUAGUAAAUGGGGUCACAAAAGGGCCUAGGAAUAAGGUGUUCAAGUGUCCCCAUAUCACAAGCAUCUGAGGUAGGAUUCAUAGAUUCAUAUGGGUGACUGUAGCCCUAAAGCCGGACCUAAUAGCUAGGCCAUUGUGUGGCACGAUCACUCUCUCAACGAUGCAAUCCCCCAUUGAACUUUCAGCCCCAGUGUUUUGGGGGGAAGGCAAUAACGGAAGUGGACAGAUUCCUGAAUACUUACCCCUAACUCCCGCUCUGCCCCAAGCAGUGUCCUCCAGGACAAAAACUGGGAGUGGGUCCGUCAAGAUGGUGUGAGGUGCAGCUUCCGACCUUCCCAGCCCUGGGAAUGGGCUUGCCACGGAGACCCUCCUGGCCUGGGCCUGGGGAAUGACGGAGAAGCAGGAGAGCUAGCCAGCCAGGUAGCCAGGGGAGGGGAGGGCGGGCCCGAACUGACACAGCCUGACCAGUCGAGGCAUAUAAGGGUGAUGCUGUGUGGAAUUAGAUGAGAUCACAGAGGACUGCAGAGCAUGGCAGCAAGGAUGGGAGGUUAAGGAGGUUGAUGAAGAAUUGUGAGGGCCGAGUGCACGGCCUACGGGAAACAUAACUUGCAGGGAGUCAAGCUAUAGUGACGUGUAGGGUAGGGAUAGAGAGGCUGGACAUAGAGGUGGAGUCAAGGGUAGGAGUAAAGUAGUUUAUUCAGGGCGAGGCCAUGGUAUCCAGCCUUAAACAUGUCAUCGUCUCUGCUCUCCGGACCAGGAUCUUUAACGUUAGUACUACUGACAUUUGGGUCUGGAUCAUUCUUCUCUUUGUUGUGGGGCUGACCUGUGCAUUGUAGGAUGUUUGUCAGCAUUCCUGGCCUCCCAGUGGAUGAAGUAGCAUCCCUUCCAGUUGUGACAACCAAAAAAGGCUUUAGGCGUCGCCAAAUGGCCCCUGGGGGACAAAACUGACCCCAGCCGAGAGCCACUGAUCUAAAGAAACUAUAUGUUUCACGUAGUCUACCGUAGGAGUCUGCAAGCUUUUUCUACAAAAGGCUAGGUAGUAACUACUUUAGGCUUUCUGGGCCGUGUGUGGUCUCGGUCACAACUACUCAACUACCCCGUGGUAGCGGGAAAGCAGUCCUAGACAAUUUGGAAACAAACAAACACAGCAUAGCUGUGUUCCACUCAAACUUUAGUUACAGACACUAAAAUUUGAAAUUCACAACAUUUUCACGUGUCCCAAAAUCUUUUGACUUUUUUUUUUUUUUCCAAUCGCUCUAAAAUGGGAAAGCUUUCUUAGCUCACAGACCGUACAAAAACAGGUGGCAGGCUGGGCUUGGCUCAGAGACCACAGUUUGCCAACCCUGGUCUAGCAGGUAGGAUUCCUGUUUUUCACCCAAGCUGCCCAGAUUUGAUAGCCCCAUCUGGGAACGUGCAAGAGCUUUCAUAGAAUGUUUUUAUCAAAGCAGCUUUCUAAAAUCUACCCUUACCUGUUCUAUCUCUUCGGGUCCCAGUAAAUAACACAGGGUGAGGUGGACAUUGAGCACAGACUGAUGUCCUGAAUUCCCUGAUUUCAUAGGUGGAGAAAUUGUGUCAUACAAAAAGCUCCCAUGCAAAAUUUUCAGUGAUUUUCAAUUUUUUUAACUUUCUAAGAGGAGUAUUUCAAACCUACAGAAAAAUUGCAAGAAUAGCUCAGAAAAAUCCAUUAUCACCUUCAUCCACGUUCACCAAUUUUUUACUUUUUGCCCCAUUUCCUUUGUUUUUCUCUCUCAAUCUCCAGAUUAUUGGUUUUUUAACCAUUUGAUAGUAAGUUGCAGACAUUCUUUUUUUUUUUUUUUAGAUUUUUAUUUAUUUGUCAGAGAGCACAAACAGUGGGAGCGGCAGGCACAGGGAGAAGCAGACUCCCUACUGAGCAAGGAGCCCAAUGUGGGGCUCUAUUCCAGGACCCUGGGAUCAUGACCUGAGCUGAAGGCAGAUGCUUAACCGACUGAGCCACCCAGGCAUCCCAACGUUCUGACUCUUUACCCUUAAAAACUUAAGUGUGAAUCUCUUUAUAAUGAGGACAUUCACUUGCAUGACCCCAGGGCAGUUUUGAAAUUUUUUUAAAAAAAAUGUUUAAAGCUUUAUUGAAGUUAUAAUUUACAUCCCAUACAAUUCAUAUUGUAAGUGGACAGUUCCAUAAUGCUGAGCAAAUUUGCAUAGUCAUCCCACAAACCAGUUAGAACACUUCCAUUCACACCAAGAAUUUCCCUCAUGCCAGGUUGCAGUCCAUCCCCAUCCCUAAACCAAGGCCCCCACUGAUCUAUGUGCUUUCUGUCUCUACAGAUUUACAUUUCUAGGAAUUUUUAUGUGAACUGAAUCCUACUACACACACACUUGCCCACUUUUUUGAGUCUGGCUUCUUUUACUUAGCAAAGUAUUUUUGAGGUGCAUUCCUGUUGUUAAAUGUAUAAGUAGUUCUUUCCUUUUUAUUUAUGAGUAAUGUUUGAUUAUAUGAAUAUACCAUAUUAUACAUUGACCAGGAGGUGGACAUUUGGAAUGCUUCCAAUUUUGAAUUCUGCCUAUGAGUGAAUAAUGCCGCUAUGAACUUCCACAUAAAGCACAUGCAGGGGGAGCGGCAGGCAGAGGGAGAGGCAGACUCCCCGCUGAGCAGGGAGCCCGAUGCGGGGCUCAAUCCCGGGACCCCGGGAUCAUGACCUGAGCCGAAGGCAGAUGCCCAACCGACUGAGCCACCCAGGUGUCCCAAAUAUAUGUUAUAUUUAUAUAAAUAUUUAUUUGUCAGAGAGUGAGAGAGAAAGAGAGAGCACAAGCAGGGAGAGUGGCAGGCAGAGGAGCCCGGUGUGGAACCUGAUCCCAGGACCCCAGGAUCAUGACCUGAGCCAGAGGCAGAUGCCCAACUGACCGAGCCACCCAGGCGUCCCUGUUGCAGCCUUUAAUACAUUUGAAUGAUCAACCAGGGGCCACUGCUGAGACACCCAACACUAUGAAGGUGUGGAAGUCACAGGAGAUGGCCCUUGCCCUGACAGUCACCAUGGAUCAACAUGCUGUGCUGCUGAGAACACACCUGGGGAAGACAUCAUCUGCUGGAAUUUGCAAUGGGGCAUUUCACCAGGAUGGGCGAGGGACCUCACACCCCCUGGUAAGGGGGAGCUACUCUCUCCUCCACUGGGAUGCCAUCGUCCUGCUGCAAGCUGGACUUGUUGACAUGCACUCUGCCUGGAAUGGAACAUGCCCCAUUGAAAGAGGGGAGGGGGAGGUCCUGUCCCUAGUCCAUCUAGGGUUCUGACAGUACUGCCCCCACCAGCCAAAUACAUGGCAUGCACAACCUGCUCAGGUUCCUAAGGCUUCCAGUCUCCCUUUCCUUGAGGCCAGCUGGGCACAUUUUCUUUUCCACUGGUAUGAUCAUCUGGCCGCCAUCUUUGUCCCCUCCGUUGGCCUGGAGGGUGUUAUCGCACACAUUGAAACCUCACUAAUUCACCCAACAAAGUGAUAGCCAACAGACCCUUCCUUGUAUUGAACACUGAAAUGUCUCUGAUGAGCAAAAUUGUCCUCCAAAAUAGGAUGGCCUUGGACAUUAUAACUGCCUUGCAAGGAGGCACCUGUCCAUUAUCCAAACAGAAUGUUGUGUGUUCGCACCUGAUGAGUCUGCUAAUGUAUCGUCUUUAUUAAAUCGCACGAGGCCCCAAGUGAACGUCUUGAGUGACCCAAUCCCCAGCCCAUAGGAAUUAAUAAAUCGGUGGUUUGGGUCCUGGGGUUCUUGGUGGAAAAAACUGUUGCUCACGUGGGGAAUUAUCUUCUGAAUCUGUGUUCUCUCUCGCACGUGCUAUCGAUACCUCUUGCUGGCUGAUCAGGGCCCACUGCAGAAGAGGCGCACGUGUGAGCUUGUAAGAAGCAAUCACAAGGGCUGGGGAGUUGGAGGAGGUCAGCGAGAGGGCGGGACUUCCAGUUCAUCCGUGAGCUGGACCCAGGCAAUGAGAGGCUCCGCACGCCCUCUCCUGUCCUUGCAAUGUGUACUCUGUCCACCCUUCUCACAGUGGGAGCCAUUUUCCGGGAUGCAGACUUCAGAGAGUAAGGUGUUGUUGAGACCGUCUGGCUGGGGUAUGUGACUGAACCUACUUAAGGCCUCUCUAUACUUUUAAGAUGCUGGCCAGCAGGUGUGAAGAUCUACUCAUCUUGUAGCCACCCAAGACAAGCCUCAUAAGUAAGUUCCCUUAUUAAGCUUGCCACGUACCAAUCUGGAACAGUCUGCCUCUUUCUUUGAUCUCUCCUUGCCUUCCAUGUACAGGGGCCGGCUGGCAAACCAGAAUCAUUCCUGGGUGAUGAAAAGACAUAUAGGAGCUCCUUGCCUGUAGAGUGCUGAAAAUGUUCAGGAAAGAUUCCUUAUCCCUUUUGGACCCUGGAGAUAGUCUCUCACCUCCCAAGGGAAGUGGCCAGACUUUGCAAGAUAUAAUUUGGGCAGCUUUGUUAUGUAGUCCAUAAAGCUACCCUUUUCUCAGUCUUCAGAGACCCGCCCCCCCCCAAGCCCAAGCAGGUGCCUUAAAUCCUGAAUCAUGUCCUCUUACAGUUGAUCAAGUUACCAAACCAGACCUGAUCUUCACGUUUGAGAGAGUCUUGGAUGGCAGAAAAAUCUAACGUUGCAUAGCAGGUUUGCUGUAUGAACAUACCAGGAUUUCAGGAUCCAGACCCGUCAUCUGGACAGCUUCCAACCUUUUGUUUUUAUAAAAGUGCACCAGUGAA